AUUGAACGCUGGCGGCAGGCUUAACACAUGCAAGUCGAGCGGGGAAAUGUAGCUUGCUACAUUUCCUAGCGGCGGACGGGUGAGUAAUGCUUAGGAAUCUGCCUAUUAGUGGGGGACAACGUUUCGAAAGGAACGCUAAUACCGCAUACGCCCUACGGGGGAAAGCAGGGGAUCUUCGGACCUUGCGCUAAUAGAUGAGCCUAAGCCAGAUUAGCUAGUUGGUGGGGUAAAGGCCUACCAAGGCGACGAUCUGUAGCGGGUCUGAGAGGAUGAUCCGCCACACUGGGACUGAGACACGGCCCAGACUCCUACGGGAGGCAGCAGUGGGGAAUAUUGGACAAUGGGGGGAACCCUGAUCCAGCCAUGCCGCGUGUGUGAAGAAGGCCUUUUGGUUGUAAAGCACUUUAAGCGGGGAGGAGGCUACUAGUACUAAUACUACUGGAUAGUGGACGUUACCCGCAGAAUAAGCACCGGCUAACUCUGUGCCAGCAGCCGCCGUAAGAC
rnacentral:rRNA from 1 species